AAGUCGUAACAAGGUUUCCGUAGGUGAACCUGCGGAAGGAUCAUUAGUGAAUUUGGGCAUUCGGAAGAGGCCCAUCCCCACUCUCCAACUCUGUGCACUUUUUGGCGGGUAAAAUUUAGCUCUUUUGAGCGGUUUUUGCCUGCGGCUUUACUUUUCAAACACCUGUUAAAUGAAUGUAAAACAAACCAUAACAAAAUAAAACUUUCAACAACGGAUCUCUUGGCUCUG
rnacentral:misc_RNA from 1 species